ACGGUUUUAAAUGACGUUCUGAAGACUGAGAAGGAAUUGAUCAUCACAAAUAUUCAGAGAUGAAAGAGAGGGGAAAAAACUGGCCGACACUCAACGGUGAGCAAGAGCAGGGAGAAAGGAAAGAUCCCCAAAUGUGAGAGGAAUGAAAGAAAGUCAGACAAUGCGAAGGAUCGGGAUGCCUGAGAUCAGCGGGGAGCCCUUGGAUGAUAAGAAACAUGGAAGUAAAUGGUCUAAUUUAUGUUCUUAAAAAAACCAAAUCCCUCUGGAUAUCUUUGGGAAAGUAAAUAUGAGAAGCUGAGCCGGCAAGCGGCAAACAGAAGAACAGACCUCUAGGAAAAAAAUCAUGUGAGUUUUGAGCUGGAUCUAGUUUUUCAACCAGCUACUAGGAUUCCCUAGCACAGGCAGUCACUUGUGGUGAUGGGGCACGAGAGAAAAGGAACAGGAGGCAGAAGACAGGAACUAUUCACUGGCAAGUUGUGAUAUGGGGCUUCUCCCAGGCUACAACUCCAGUGAGAUUAAAGGAUAGAAAAGAGCAUUCCCAUUCAAAAAUGUUUAAGAUGAAGAAGAUGAAGCCCAGAAAGGACAAAUGACAUGGUCUAGGUGCCUCACAGGAGGAACUGAACCAGAACCCAAACACAAAGUUCCUUACUUUCCAAACGUCCACCAACUAUGUUGCAAGCAGCCUUUCGUUUUGCACUCCAAGGAAAGCAGGAAGCUUUGGAACCCACAGGAGAAGGUCAUUCUCCUCAGCUGCCUCACCUGGGCCAGGCAGGCCGGAGGGCCCGCGAGAGUCAGAAGUGUAUAGAGGAAAAACACGGACUACCCAGACACAGAGCUGACUCGUUGGGAAACGACAGCAAGCAUUACUCAGCCCCUGGAAAGAGGCCUUUUCUGAAGCCAGGCAAGGGAAGCCCAAGAAGACCUCACUUCACUUGACAUUGAACUUGCCAGGGGUGUUGAAGCAGAACAGAUGUUUAACGUGGCCUUUUGCUUUGAUCGUUCAUUCAGGCAGAGACCCAUUAAAUCCUGGAGCUAAGAGACUUUGAAAUAUCCCACUCUCUUCCCUUCCCAGCCUCCUUAGGGCACCACAGCCAACAGCCAGCGUGUGCGUCUGUGACCAUGCUGUCUGGCCUUCAAGAAGACUGUCCAGGAUCUACAUGUCACCCUUCUUCUCCUCACCCAGAGUGUCAGUCAUUGUGUCCAGAGCAAAGCCAUGAGAAGCAUACAGGAGAUGCACUGAUAAGACUUCAAACCCUAGUGAAAACACAGGGUUUGGAAGUGCAAAAGUCCUCUUGAUUACACUAAAGUCUUAGGGUUUCUGUUGCUGUUAUAAAACACCAUUGACCAAAGUCAAUUUGGGGAGAAAGGAUUUACUUUAUCUUACACUUCUAGGUCAUAGUUUAUCACGGAGGGAGUCAGGGCAAGAACUUGAGACAGGUACCUAGAGGCAGGAACUGAUGCAGAGGCCUUGGAGGAAUGCUGCUUACUGGCUUGCUUCUCAUAGUUUGUGCAACCUACAUUCUUAUAGGCUUCGGACCACCAGCCCCGGGGUUACCACCACAGUGAGCUGGGCACUUUCACACAUCCAUCAUCAACCAAGAAAAUGUACCAUAAGCGUGCCCAUAAGGCUAAUCUGAUAGAAGCGUUUUCUCAGUUGAGGCUCCCUCCAUCUUCCCAAAUGACUUUGGCUUGUGUCACAUUGACGUAAAACUUUCUGGCACACUAGAUGUUCAGAAGAAUCUGUGAGUAUAGGUGCUGUAGACAAGAUUAUGUUUGGGGGGGGGUGUGAAACAAAAGAUAAGAUUUUUAAAGUGUCCUUUUGAGAGAAUGGAAAGAGUGAACGUAGUUUCUAGAGGAAGAAACCAACUUGGGCAAGACUCAGUUGAAGGGAAUUUUGGGCUCUGGUGGUGCCUAUGGGGAGAGAGGCAGGUUAGAUACAAGAGGGGAGGAAGGACUCACAGUUGGAAAGCAGGCAAGCAGGAUGUCUUAGGAGACUUGAAUGGCAGCGAGGAAGAGACUCGGGAGAUAACCAGGAGCCCCAGGAAGCUGGCGAGCACUCAGAAGGUGUGACUGUAGUUCACUCUAGGUGUCAUGCAGAAACUCAAGAUAGCAUCAGGGACACAGGAAGAACUGGGGCGUGGGGUGUGGACUUCUCUGUGUCUCAACAGUCAGGGCAGGCUCUGGGAGACCUUCCUCUCCAGCUUCCCACUGAGAACCCAGGACUUCAAGCAAAGCUGCGUCUUUGAGGCAUGUUUGAAGAGCUGGUCACAUUUCUCUCAGGCGAGGAUGGGAGCAAUUUUGAUUCAUUUCUCUUUUUAAAUAUCAGGCUCUUUAUAUACAAGUCACACAGUUCAGAGGGGGUGCUGGAAACCCAGGCUUCUGUUCCGUGUAUUCACAGGCAUCCCCUCUGCCCCUCCCCACCCCCAUAUUUGAAAGGGAAAGGUACUACGAUGCAGCCUCCUCUCAGAGAGCCUGUCUUUGGUAAAGUGUUCGCUGUCUACAUGCCUACACUUGCCUCACGGCCUCUGAUAGCAAAGCUGCAGCCAACAUUCCCUUUCUGCUUGUACCGUGCUCUCCCCUCCCUCCCUACAGUACUUCCUGCCUCCCUGUGAUAAUGCCACUACACCUAGAAGACAUGGGGCCCCUGCAGAGUGGUUCAGCUGUGUUGGAAGGGGCACAGGGAUAACUUGCUCUAGAAGAAAGCAAAAAAAGUGUUCCAGAUCUGCCUCACUGCCCAGCUCUUCCAGCUCAACAGUGGGAUUGUGGUCUUGAGUUUGGUCUCCACGUAUGAACAAAAGGAUGCUCCGAACCUUGGUAGCAAACACUGAUUGCCAUCAAUUUUCUUCCCUGAUGUCGAAGACACCACCUCCGCACUGGAGGCUAUGGUUAUGUUCACUAUGGAUUUGUAGGUAACAAUGAAUUAAAUUCAUUUUAAAGGCAUUGCAUGAUUGUUUUGUGGUGUAGUGCUGACAUAACUGGAAAGAGAGAAUCUCAGUGGGUCAUCCUUAACACGAUGAUUGAGGGCUCACCGGUAAAGCAGUUUCUGGGAGGUAUUCCUUUUCUUAAUUUUUGUACCCCCCCAUCUAUGUUGUCAACUGGCUAGUCUCAGCCUCUAACCCAAGGGAAAGUCUUUGACAGAUCCCCUCUGAACAUUUUCAUUUGGGUUGAUUUCAUGUAACCGUUAAUUCAUUAUUCAUGUUCCUAUCCAACUUAGUAAUGGAUAGUUUAAACCCUCAAAAGGGCCAACUCAUUGCGUUCUCUUUUUCCUCUUUGCCCUUUUGUUUCCUUCCCAAAGCCGUUUGCAUUUCCAUUGUCUGGGAUGCUUUCCUCUCAUUGACCCUCAGUGGCUUUCCUUAUCCAUCUUAGAGGGGAAGAAGCAGAGCUGUUCACACAGACUUCUAUGGGGGGCAUUUGUUCUUACUGCUUUUUCCCCUCAGCGUGUAAAAAUCCUGCUUCUAAAUGCCAGAAGGCGUCACCCAAGUGCAGGCGAACCCAGAGAGACCCCUGACCUCUAGCCUGACCUCACUUGAAGAUUACCUGAGGGUACUGAGCUCUUUGUUGGCUUUGACACUUAAAUGCUGCUUCCUGCAGUCUCUUAGAGGAAACUCAGACUGAGCCAAGUGGGGACUAUGCUCUCAACUUUUUGUGCCGAUUCUGCAAGAUCUUGGUGGGACAUGAAGAAGUCGUAGUAUUCUCUUUUCCAGGUUAUAUUUCUUUAGCUUUCUGUGGCAAGACUGAAAUGGAUAUCAUUUGUUCUAGUCCAAACUUUACAGAUCUGGGAUAUUUUGACCAUGCUUGCACUACUGAUGCUGGCCCUGCUUUUCCCAACUGAUGCCUUGCUUUCCCAUCACACUGGAGCCUUUCUUGCUCACUGAUGGUCUCUUCCAAACAGAAAAGGUACCUUCCAUUUGUGAACAUCAUGGCCUUCAGUACUGGGUCAUUGGACAAUUCCCAAGGCCAGCCAGCCUGGAACUUCAAAGUUUAACCACUUCUUGCCCAUAGUCCUGUGGGCUUCACAUACAGAGACAGCAAUAAGUCAGUAUAAACCGAACUCUAACUAUCUUGAUGGUGGCAGAUGUAUGAAAGCCUACUUGGUGGAGAAGACAUAUGCAGAUACCCUGCUGGAGAAGAACUCAGGUUUGAACCUACUGAAAUGCUAAGCAAAGUAUGUAAAAGAUAAAAAUAAAAAAACAA